rnacentral:rRNA from 1 species
UACAGAGGUCCCGAGCGUUGUUCGGAUUCAUUGGGCGUAAAGGGUGCGUAGGCGGCGGAGUAAGUUGGGUGUGAAAUCCCGAGGCUCAACCUCGGAAUUGCAUUCAAUACUGCUUCGCUCGAGUACUGGAGAGGAGGCUGGAAUUUACGGUGUAGCAGUGAAAUGCGUAGAUAUCGUAAGGAAGGCCGGUGGCGAAAGCGAGCCUCUGGACAGUUACUGACGCUGAUGCACGAAGGCCAGGGGAGCAAACGGG